rnacentral:lncRNA from 1 species
AGCGACUGGGUAUAUGGGGUUCAGGCAAGAGGUAAAGCUUAGGAAGAAAAAGGAAAAAAGAGGAUUUGUUGGCAUCUGCAUACAGGUGGUAAUUGAAACCAUAAUGUAUAAUGUAUAAACUCCAAAAGAGAGUUAGCAGACUAUAAAAAACAGAAAAACAGAAGAAAAGAAAAAUGCAUAGGAAAGAGUCCUGGGGGACAGAAUAUUGAAGCGUGAGUAGGAAAAAAGAGAACUCAAAAAUGCAAUUAAUACAGGAGCAGCCAAAAAAUCGAGAAGGAAGGGGAGUGUUCAAAGGGUCCAUUACUGCUGAGUGACAAUGCCCAGUGGACUUAGGAGCCCAUAGGUCGUGAGUGCCUGGGAUGAAGGGUACAUUCAAGGGUGCACCUAGAGCCUAAGGAAGAAAGGAAGACUGCACUGGGAUGAGGAGUGAGGGGGAGAUGCCGGAAGGGAGGUGGGAAGUGCCAUUAUUUUGCUGUUUCAAGAGUCAUAUGCAAGGUGAGGUAUAGAAAGAGAAAAGCCUGAGAAGUUGAAAAGGGCCAUGUCCGGAGGGCCUUGUGUGCCAAACCAAAGGGAGGUGCAUUUUACCCUACAGAAAAUGCAGAACAGGUAGUAAAGUCCACAGAAUAGAAACCAGCUUUGACAACAACAAGGAGGAUGGGAUUAGUGUGGGAUGAGAAACUGGUCAAGGAGGCUGGUUAACACAAAGAUUUUGUCGAUGAUGGGGUUGCACACAGAUGUGCUCAGGCAGUUUGCUAUUGAAAAUAUUGUACUAAAAGUUGCACCAGGCUGAAAUAAAUGGGAACAGAUUCAAGUUAACCUCUUUAAUGGUCCCACUCUUACUUUUAUUCCAGGAUGUUUUCUAGUGGCAGGGGAAAGAAAGGACUGGAAUUAUAGCCUCAACCUCUAUGAUUGUACUUGACAUUGACUAUGCCUGAGGGAAUGAAUCACAUGUGUAAACAUCAUCCAUCCUCUGAAAAAAGUGGAGGACCAUUGAGUUAGAGAAAUUUGCAGUCACUGAGGUAGAGAUGACUAGAUCCUAAUUAGGCGUGAUCAACAGAGAUGGUAAAGACAGAAAGGAUUGUUGGAGUGAAGUUCAGAGUUAGAAACAGGACUUAGAAACCAACUGGAUGUGAGAGGUGAGACACUGUCCUUGGAAUAGCAAUAUUCCUUAUUAAGUAUUUUAGUCUAUAGGGAACUCCAAUAGGAAGGUAUGUAACGUAUAUUAUCCCAUUUCAUCUUCUGAAUAGCCUUGCAAAAUAGGUAUUUUUUUUUUUAAUUCUCAUUUUACGGAAAAUGAAACUGGAGUUUAGAGAAUUAAAGUAACUUUUCCAGGGUCAUCCAGAUUUUAAGUCCCAUAGGGAAAAUUCAAAUCCAGACUUACCUGAUUCAAAAAGCACUAAUAUUCUGCAGUGCAUAGGGUCUAAAUGAGUCACAUUUGUGUCGCAUAGUGUAGUGUAACAUGAAAUUCAGAUGGUAAAUACAAGAUGAGGAGCAGGUUUAGGGGGGAAUGUUGAGUUGAAUUUUAAGUGUAUUCUGUUUUUUAAAGCCUGGAGAAUAUCCCUGGUGAAGAUGUCUAAUAGAUAGUUACAUAUAUAAGUCUAGAAUUUAGGGGCAAUGUCUGGGAGAAGAUAAAGAUUUGUGAGACAUUAGCAUUUAAAUUGUUGUUCAAGUCAUGGGAAUGGAUGAGAUUUCCCAGGGAGGCUGCAACAUGAGAAGAGAAUCAAGUGGAGAGCUACGAAGCACUAAAAUUAAAAAGGAGGUCAGAGAAAAGGAUCAGUGGAGGAGACAGAGAAGGAAUGUUAAUACAAGUUAGAGAGGAGUAACAGAGGCUGAUAUCACACUGAAGCAGAAGAGAGGUGCCAGAGAGGGGAGUGAAGGAAUGUUAUCCAAUGCCACGGAGUGCCCAGAGAUGACUGAAAGAGUCCACUAGAUUAAGAGGAUUGUAAAUGAGAAAUACAAGUUAAAACAGCAGGAGAUUUAAUUUUAAAUUAUAACAGUAUUGCCUAAAGUCUGGAAAUAUACAGCUUGUGGGAAAGAAAGGUAGCAACUUUUAGAAGGUCAAUUGCCAAUGCAUCUGAAAAGCCAGCAUUCUCUUUCUAGGGGUUUUUCUAAGGAAAAAUAAGAAAUGAGGACAUCCAUGCAGCAUUAUUUAGGGUAGCAACCAUAUCGCAGUAGUUAAGAACAUUAACUCUAGAGCCAGACAACCUGAGUUGAAAUCUGCCACUUAGUAGCUCUGUGACCUUGGGUAAGUUUCUUAACCUUUCUGUGCUUCAGUUUCCUUAUCUGUAAAAGGGUUAUCAUUAUCAAUAAGGCUGUUACUGCCUAAUUGGGUUUGACAAGAAUUAAGUGAAUAGAUACUGUAUUUAUAUUAUUUGUUAUAUUAAUAUAGAUAAAAAUAAUUAAAAUAUUCAAUGGUAAGAUUGAUGACAAAAACACAUCAAUGCUUUAUGAUAAUAUGCCACCCCGAACAUUUAUGUGAUUAACUAACAUUAUGGAAAGGUAUUAAUAGAUUAUUAUUAGAAAAAGUUGUAAACUAAAUGACUAGAAUAAUUCCAUUUGUGAGUAAACAAUGUGUACAUAAGAAUUGGACGUGUGUGACAAUUUUUAAAAAGCCACUAUCAAAGUGCCUGUAUCUGAGUGGUUGGAUUAUGCAUUUUAUUUCACUUUUAGAGUUUCACACAUUUCUAUAUUUUAUAUAGAUGCAAUACAUUAUUUUUAUAAGAAAAAAAAAUUUAAAUUAAAAUUAAAAAUCCUAGAGGUCAGAAUAUAGAAUAAAUAUAUAAUUAUUUCUUGACAGGACUUGCCUGUGAAAGGAAAUAGAGUAAGAGCCUAGUAGAGCAUUUUUAUAACCAGCGGAGAAAUAGCAUGUAUAAAAUGUUUUACAGAUUCUGUCACCUGAGAGGCUUCCUGUAAAUGAGGGAUGCUGUUAUUAUUAUUAAUUAUCAUUAAAAUUUCUCUAGCCUCAGACAUUUAGUACGAGAACAACUCUACUGAGUAGCCAAAGGCAAGAGGAAAAAGAAGAAUUAAAAAUAGGGAGCAUUCUAGAAAGAAUUUUCUUUGUAAGGUGUUCAGGACCCUGUACCCUGUUGUCAGAGCAGUGUCCAGAGCUAAUUAUCUACAGGCACAGACUCAGGAAUAGAGAAGAUAAGACCCAAGGUGCCAGAUAAUUUGUAAAGGAGCCAAGAUAAGUAAGAAUAUAUUGUUUUAAGAGCUUUCUUCCCACUUGUCAAUUAUACAAACUUGUUUUAGUAUCUAACCAUUUGGGCUACACAUCUGCCUUAUCUCUCUGAUAAUAUAGAUUAUAAACCCCAAUAAAUACUUUUAGUAUCUCAGUCUCUCAUAGCACCAAGAAAUCAGAAGUUCAAAAUGAAAUGAGUUUUUUUUUUUUAAAUAGGCCUUUAAAAUUAUUUUAGGGGCUAAUUGAAAUGAUUUUUAAAGUGGUGAGUUUGCUGUUCAGGCUAUUCAUUGCUCAAGCAGGAUUUAUUGAAUAUAUCAGAUUAUUAGCACAGGAAUAAGCAGUAUAAGAUGGAUAUAACCCAUAUAUUUAUUGGGGCUUAUACUCUAUACUAACAGAGAGAUAAAGCAGGAAACCUGCACCAUAUCUCUUAUCCAAGAACACCAAGAACACAAUUCAGUUCCCUAGAAGUUUUUAAUUUUAAUAAUUAUGUUCUAAAAAACCACUCCUGAAGCAGUUAUAUCGUCAGAUUAGAACAGUAUGAAAGUAGAAGUGCCUAUACUUGUAAUCUGUUUUUAACAAAAGUGAUUUGAAAUGGGAUGAAAACACAACUUUAAAAAGUAAUCCAGAGUAUAUGGUACAUAUGCUUCAGAAUAAAGAUAAACAUACCCUUUAAAGAGGAGUUAAAUUCAAAGCCAUUUCCUUCAAGUUUUGAGUCAGUGGCUUAACAAGUUAGCAAUUGUCUUAAAAUUUUAGACUAGGGUAAUAAGCCUGUUCAGGUCCCUUAAACUUUCUAGAUAUUUUAGUCUGCACAUUCAAAAGAAACAGAGCCAUAUUAUCUAAACAGACAAGUCUAACAAUUUCAAAGUUCAGGUAGACGUAAAACACAAAAGAAGGACUUAUCACUACAUUAGUGGUUUGCCACAACUCCAUAACUAAGCCCCCGACUUCCCUGUCCCCUUUCUUCAGGCCUGCCACCUCAUCCUACUCUAUAGACAAACAAGCUCUCCAAUCUAAUUCUUAUCAAGAUGGAAACAAGGCCAGACCUGCUCUUCUAGAUAAAAUGCUUUGGCUUCUAACUGCCUGGCUGCUUAUCUUUCAUCUUGCAGUGUUAACCAUAACCCUUUUCCUGACCUGCUCUACUUCUUGUUUUCAGAUGAGCAGUGAGGACUGGGGAAAAAACAUUCUUAAAUGGACAAGUUCACUCUCUCACCUCCCUCUCCAUUCCUUUUAAAGUCUGUUCAAACCUCUUUCUGUUCAAAUUCUCUUUCCAAAAUGACCACAAAUCACAUUCCAUGCACGACAUGUAAUUUAAUAUAUUUCUAAGUCUCUCUGGUUCAACUGUUACUCUGUCCACUCUGUAUCAUCAUACACGUUUUUUGUUGUUUUUUUAAAAUUAAAAUUUCUGGUUGAUUUUUUGUGGGAAGAAGAUUGGGUUUUCUAAGGAAGAGCUGAGUCCCUUUUGUCCCUUUUUGCCUGCCCAGGUCCUAAUAAGCUGAAUCAUCUUCUUGGCUAAGCUGUUUGGUUUGGCUUACCUGAAUUCUUGUGUUUUCAUCCAAACAAAGCAUUGCUCUUUCCUGCUCUUUCCUGAGCAGGUGAAAGUUAAUGCAAUAAGGACCUUGAACAGUCAGGCUGUCUCGCUAUGUGAGGUUAAUUGUGGCACUACAUGUCUUUGACCCUCGUUCCUCAUACGCAAAGUGGAAAGAUAAAAAAAAUAAGUUAGUUGUCUUCUACUCACGAGAAUUCUAGGAAACCCAAUUCUCUGGGACUUCGAAAUGAAGUUGAACGGUGUGAGAUUGCACAGGCCCCCGGUAUUGUAAAUACCCCACUCUGGUUAUGACACCUUUACCCCACACAAAUUCAUGUACCUGAACCUGCAUGUCCUUGAAAACACAGGAGAUUUUCCAAAAGCACUUGCAUUCUUUCUACUAACACAAUGUGCUGGGGUAUUUUUUGUCUUAAUUUUUAUGUUUAGCAGCAUUUAUAAAUAAAUCUACAUUACAUAUCAGAAAAUUAUCUCAUAGGGGCCCUGCUCUGAGUCAGGUAUUCCAUUUUGUUUUUUCAGCUUGGAAAAAGUUGAAUUUGGAAUUAUACUGCUUUCUUUUCAUUUUUUAUUUUCUUGCUGCAAAUUUGAUUCUAAUUAACCCUUUAAAGCCAGUUUAACUAUGUUAAGGUUAUUAUUAUUGGGGAAAUAGUAUUACUGAAUUCAAAUUUAAAUACAUAUUUAUAUGCUUACUCUGUAUAAGGCAUAUUGUCAGCUGCUAAUGGAAAAAGGAGAAAUACCUACCUUUAAAGAAUUAAUAAGUUUAUGCCAGAAUAACUGAUCAUGCUAUUUUCCCUAUGACAUUUUCAUAAUAUUAAUGAUUUGGUGUUUAGGAUUACCACAUUCUUGAAAACCAGGAGAAGAUGAUUCCUAGUUUACAUCCCUCUGUGUGUAGAAAGGUUGUAAUGUUUCCUUUAUUCUUAAAAAAACUGAUCUUCAAGUAUUAUUUUCCUUAAAGAAUUAUAAGUAUUAGAAAAUGUUUUAUUUCUUAUCUCUUCUACAAAAUAUUAUAAGGAAGCAAAGCUUUAGAGUUUGUUUCAAUUUUAAAAAAUGUUACUUUCCCAUGACUUUUUUUUUUUUUUUUUUUUUGUCUUUUUUGUCUUUUGAGGGUCACACCCACAGCAUAUGGAGAUUCCCAGGCUAGGGGUCGAAUUGGAACUAUAGCCACCGGCCUACACCACAGCCACAGCAACGUGGGAUCCGAGCCUUGUCUGUGAUUUACACCACAGCUCACGGCAAUGCUGGAUCCUUGACCCACUGAGCGAGGCCAGGGAUCAAACCCACAAACUUAUGGUUCCUAGUCUGGUUAGUUAACCACUGAGCCACGACGGGAACUCCUCCCAUGACUUUCAAUUAAAGCUAGGAAGUCAAAAGAGUAUCUGUAGUAAGUUGAAUUUAACUAUGUUUGCUGAACUUUUAAUCAAAGAAAGAAAGAGGAUCUUUAUAACCUAUCACUUCUGAAAAUUCUCCUUUAGUAGACUGUAGUCCAAGGAAUAUGCCCUCUUCACUGUAGAAUGCUAGUCCAAUUCAUCUAUUUAUCUCAGAGACAUGAGAGAACAUUCACUAGAUCUUAUUUUUGUUUUUGUCAUUUUUAUAACCUAUAGUAGGCUCUUGUAUGAAUAUAGGGCAAGGGACAAGUUUAAAUAAAAUAAAAUUUCAGUGUCAAAUGAUUAGAUCCCUUUAAAUUCACAGAAAACUCUAAAGGUAUGGUUUAAAUAGAGUAAUAGGAUUGGGGAACCAAAUUCUAUGAUGGUUCCUGAAUUUCACUACCUUUCUACAAAAGUCUUUAAGUGAAUGUUACUUAAAAUUCCAUUCUACUUAGAAAAUACUUGGGUUUUUUGUUUGUUUGUUGUUGUUGUUGUUUUUGCUUUUUAGGGCCCACCCGAGGCAUGUGGAGGUUCCCAGGCUAGGGGUUGAAUCAGAGCUGUAGUUGCCAGCCCACACCAUAGCAACACAAGAUCCAGCAGAGUCUAAAACCUACACCACAGCUCUUGGCAACGGUAGUACUGGAUCCUUAACCCACUGAGCAAGGCCAGGGAUUGAACCUGCGUCCUCAUGGAUGCUAGUCAGAUUCGUUAACCACUGAGCCACACUGGGGACUCCCAGAAAAUACUUGUUUAAAUAAAAUAAAAAUUAGCUAGCUUCUGGGAGUUCUCACUGUAGCUCAGUGGUAAUGAACCCAUCUAGUAUACAUGAGGAUGCAGGUUUAAUCCCUGCCCUUACCCAGUGGGUUAAAGGAUCUGGCAUUGCUGUGAGCUAUGUUGCAGGUCGCAGACUCUGGCUGGGAUCCCAUGUUGCUGUGGCUGUGGCCGGCAACUGUAGCUCUGAUCUGACCCCUAGCCUGAGAACUUC